CCAGACUCCUACGGGAGGCAGCAGUGGGGAAUAUUGGACAAUGGGGGGAACCCUGAUCCAGCGACGCCGCGUGAGUGAAGAAGUAUUUCGGUAUGUAAAGCUCUAUCAGCAGGGAAGAAAGAAAUGACGGUACCUGACUAAGAAGCCCCGGCUAACUACGUGCCAGCAGCCGCGGUAAUACGUAGGGGGCAAGCGUUAUCCGGAUUUACUGGGUGUAAAGGGAGCGUAGACGGCAAUGCAAGUCUGGAGUGAAAGGCGGGGGCCCAACCCCCGGACUGCUCUGGAAACUGUAUAGCUGGAGUACGGGAGGGGCAGGCGGAAUUCCUGGUGUAGCGGUGAAAUGCGUAGAUAUCAGGAGGAACACCGGCGGCGAAGGCGGCCUGCUGGACCGUGACUGACGUUGAGGCUCGAGAGCGUGGGGAGCAAACAGGAUUAGAUACCCCUGUAA
rnacentral:rRNA from 1 species